UAAUGUAUGGGGAUCUGCCCGAUAGAGGGGGAUAACUACUGGAAACGGUGGCUAAUACCGCAUAAUGUCUACGGACCAAAGCAGGGGCUCUUCGGACCUUGCACUAUCGGAUGAACCCAUAUGGGAUUAGCUAUAGGUGGGGUAAAGGCUCACCUAGGCGACGAUCUCUAGCUGGUCUGAGAGGAUGAUCAGCCACACUGGGACUGAGACACGGCCCAG
rnacentral:rRNA from 1 species